GAACCUGCGAGGAUGGCAGCGGUGUCCAGCAGUGAAGACUGAAGGUGUCCACAGCUGUGAUAGGGGCUUCUGGGUCCUCUUGCUUGCUUUUCUUCACAGGAAGAAGUCCCUCCUAGCUCCUAGGGGGUUUGAUUGUGAGCGGCAAGGGUGUGGCAGAGAUUAUGCUCCAAGACACUGAAUCUGAAAGGAUGCAUCCAGUCUUGCCAAGUGGUUUCACUACCAAGGCCAGUCUCCAUCUAUGAUAGACCCAAGGAAGAUCAUUUACAACUAGAAUCUAGUCAUUUAGGAGAUUGUGUGCUCCCUGGAUGGGCCAUCUGCACUGGUGUGAGGUUUAUCUCAUUGAAGGGAAAACCAAAGGAAUCUUCUUGAAUAUCAGCACCAGGAAGAGCAGUACAAACUGGAGAAGCUGGGGUCAUUGUUGAGAGACAAAAUGAGAUCAUGUCUGGGAAAAUACUUCUAAAUUAUCAACUCCCUUUCUAUGGAAGAGGAUGACCAAAGAAGGAUGCACUCCUUGUCUGGAAUUAUGCCAGAGGUCUUAAAAUGCUCAGAAAUGAAAUCAGCCUUCUUCCCUGUCCUAA
rnacentral:lncRNA from 1 species